rnacentral:rRNA from 1 species
UUUUCAUCAGACAAUCUGUGUGAGCACUGCAAAGUACGCUUCUUUAAGGUAAGGAGGUGAUCCAACCGCAGGUUCCCCUACGGUUACCUUGUUACGACUUCACCCCAGUCAUGAAUCACAAAGUGGUAAGCGCCCUCCCGAAGGUUAAGCUACCUACUUCUUUUGCAACCCACUCCCAUGGUGUGACGGGCGGUGUGUACAAGGCCCGGGAACGUAUUCACCGUGGCAUUCUGAUCCACGAUUACUAGCGAUUCCGACUUCAUGGAGUCGAGUUGCAGACUCCAAUCCGGACUACGACGCACUUUAUGAGGUCCGCUUGCUCUCGCGAGGUCGCUUCUCUUUGUAUGCGCCAUUGUAGCACGUGUGUAGCCCUGGUCGUAAGGGCCAUGAUGACUUGACGUCAUCCCCACCUUCCUCCAGUUUAUCACUGGCAGUCUCCUUUGAGUUCCCGGCCGGACCGCUGGCAACAAAGGAUAAGGGUUGCGCUCGUUGCGGGACUUAACCCAACAUUUCACAACACGAGCUGACGACAGCCAUGCAGCACCUGUCUCACGGUUCCCGAAGGCACAUUCUCAUCUCUGAAAACUUCCGUGGAUGUCAAGACCAGGUAAGGUUCUUCGCGUUGCAUCGAAUUAAACCACAUGCUCCACCGCUUGUGCGGGCCCCCGUCAAUUCAUUUGAGUUUUAACCUUGCGGCCGUACUCCCCAGGCGGUCUACUUAACGCGUUAGCUCCGGAAGCCACGCCUCAAGGGCACAACCUCCAAGUAGACAUCGUUUACGGCGUGGACUACCAGGGUAUCUAAUCCUGUUUGCUCCCCACGCUUUCGCACCUGAGCGUCAGUCUUUGUCCAGGGGGCCGCCUUCGCCACCGGUAUUCCUCCAGAUCUCUACGCAUUUCACCGCUACACCUGGAAUUCUACCCCCCUCUACAAGACUCAAGCCUGCCAGUUUCGAAUGCAGUUCCCAGGUUGAGCCCGGGGAUUUCACAUCCGACUUGACAGACCGCCUGCGUGCGCUUUACGCCCAGUAAUUCCGAUUAACGCUUGCACCCUCCGUAUUACCGCGGCUGCUGGCACGGAGUUAGCCGGUGCUUCUUCUGCGGGUAACGUCAAUUGCUGCGGUUAUUAACCACAACACCUUCCUCCCCGCUGAAAGUACUUUACAACCCGAAGGCCUUCUUCAUACACGCGGCAUGGCUGCAUCAGGCUUGCGCCCAUUGUGCAAUAUUCCCCACUGCUGCCUCCCGUAGGAGUCUGGACCGUGUCUCAGUUCCAGUGUGGCUGGUCAUCCUCUCAGACCAGCUAGGGAUCGUCGCCUUGGUGAGCCGUUACCUCACCAACAAGCUAAUCCCAUCUGGGCACAUCUGAUGGCAAGAGGCCCGAAGGUCCCCCUCUUUGGUCUUGCGACGUUAUGCGGUAUUAGCCACCGUUUCCAGUAGUUAUCCCCCUCCAUCAGGCAGUUUCCCAGACAUUACUCACCCGUCCGCCACUCGUCAGCAAAGCAGCAAGCUGCUUCCUGUUACCGUUCGACUUGCAUGUGUUAGGCCUGCCGCCAGCGUUCAAUCUGAGCCAUGAUCAAACUCUUCAAUUUAAAAGUUUGAUGCUCAAUGAAUUAAACUUCGUAAUGAAUUACGUGUUCACUCUUGAGACUUGGUAUUCAUUUUUCGUCUUGCGACGUUAAGAAGCCGUAUCUUCGAGUGCCCACACAGAUUGUCUGAUAAAUUGUUAAAGAGCAGUGCAACGCGGCUUUCAGCUCACCGUCGCGAGGUGGCGUAUAUUACGCUUUCCUCUUUUUGAGUCAA